rnacentral:tRNA from 1 species
GCCUUCGUGGUGUAGUGGUCAGCACGCUCGACGCGUAACCGAAAGGCCUGUGGUUCGAUUCCCGGCGAAGGCG